AGUGAACGCUGGCGGUAGGCCUAACACAUGCAAGUCGAACGACAGCACAGUAAGAGCUUGCUCUUACGGGUGGCGAGUGGCGGAAGGGUGAGGAAUACAUCGGAAUCUACUUUUUCGUGGGGGAUAACGUAGGGAAACUUACGCUAAUACAGCAUACGACCUACGGGUGAAAGCAGGGGAUCUUCGGACCUUGCGCGGAUGAAUGCGCCGAUGUCGAAUUAGCUAGUUGGCGGGGUAAUGGCCCACCAAUGCGACGAUCCGUAGCUGGUCUGAGUGGAUGGUCAGCCACACUGGAACUGAGACACGGUCCAGACGACUACGGGAGGCAGCAGUGGGGAAUAUUGGACAAUGGGCGCAAGCCUGAUCCAGCCGUACCGCGUGGGUGAAAAAGGCCUUCGGGUUGUAAAGCCCUUUUGUUGGGAAAGAAAAGCAGCAGGUUAAUACCCCGCUGUUCUGACGGUACCCAAAGAAUAAGCACCGGCUAACUUCGUG
rnacentral:rRNA from 1 species